rnacentral:misc_RNA from 1 species
AAAAAACCCUUACAUAGAUAGAGAGCAAACCUAAGCUUGAACUCAGCAGCGAAUUUUAAGCGUUCAUCGUCAAUGGACGCCAUAAGGAAGCAACUGGAUGUGUUAAUGGGAGCUAACCGGAACGGCGAUGUGACGGAGGUUGAUCGGAAGUACUACGACCGUGAAGUUUGCCGUCUUUAUCUCUCCGGUCUCUGCCCUCACGAACUCUUUCAGCUCACUAAAAUGGAUAUGGGGGCAUGCCCUAAGGUGCAUUCGUUGCCUCUAAGAAAAGAAUAUGAAGAAGCAAAGGCAAAAGGUCAGGAUAACUAUGACAGGGACUUGGAGGAUUUAAUAGACAGGCUGAUUGUUGAGUGUGACAGGAAAAUAACUAGAGCCCUUAAAAGGCUUGAUGAGGAGGAUGCCAAAGCUGCUAUUGCCAUAUCAGUAUCUGAAGUUACCCUGACUCCGGAGAUUGAUGAGUUGUCAAAGCAAAUUAAAGAGAAGCUGAAAGAAGCUGACAUACAUGAUCUUGAAGGUAAGACAGAUAUGAAAAUUCGAGCUUUGGAAGAAGUUGAAGAACUUCGAACUAAGAGAGCAGACAAACAGUCAAUGCUUCUUUUGGAUGCAUUCAACAAGGAUCGAGCAUCUUUGCCGCAGCCACUUCAGAAUGCUCCACAGUUGGCACCCUUGCCUGCAUCUACUCCAGAUCCUCGCAUACAGGAAAUGAUAAAUGAGAAACUGAAGAAAGCAGAAGAUCUUGGUGAACAAGGAAUGGUUGAUGAAGCUCAGAAAGCAUUGGAAGAGGCGGAAGCUCUUAAGAAGCUACCUGUGAGGCAAGAACCUGUUCAGGAUUCCUCAAAGUACACUGCAGUUGAUGUGCGGAUUACUGAUCAGAAGCUCCGUGUAUGCGAUAUUUGUGGAGCUUUCUUAAGUGUUUAUGACAGUGAUCGUCGCUUAGCUGAUCAUUUUGGAGGAAAGCUUCAUUUGGGAUAUAUGCAAAUCCGGGAGAAAUUAGCUGAACUUCAGGAAGAAAGAAACAAGAAGCGCAAGGCAAUAGAAGAAGAUAGGAGAUCUAAAGAAAGGAAAAGCAGGGAACGCGAGAGAGAAUCAAGCAGGGAUAGAGUUGAUAACCGUGAUCAUGAUCGCAGGAGUAAAGAUCGCAGCUAUGAUCGUGAGCGUGACAGAAACAGAGACCGCUCUCGGAACUAUGAUUCAAGGAGUCACAGGAGAUCACGUUCACGGUCAAGAGAAAGGUCAAGGGAUUAUGAUCGCCACAGGCGUCACGAUCGCUACUAGGUGAAAGUUGCUGUGGCAUGAGGAGUUGAAAUCUUGUGUCUUAACUUGGUGGAUGUUUGGUACUUGGUAGUAUCUAGGAGCUGAUGUCAUAUAUAUAUACUGCUGUUUUUAUUUGGUCGUUUUUGGAUUAUGAAUUGGUUAGGGGGGUGAAGUUUGGUAUUUGAUUAUCAAAAUGACAUUUUUUUAUUGUACCAGCCUUUGAGAUUUCUCCUCUUGUGGAGACAAUAACCCAUUUAAAAAUUCUUAGGCUUGUUUUCGCCAUCAUGGGUGAUUUGUUUGUGGAAGAUUGGUGUCGUUGAUUUGUAAGUUUUAAUGCUCG